UCUUCUCUACGUCUACGCGUAUAGUGUGUUCACACCGUAUUCUUCGCCGACUCGAAAACAGUCCUACCUUGAAAGUACUAAAACACCCACUUCCCCCAGUCCAACCUUAAGUCUUCACCUGCACGAUACUCUCCCCGUCGCCGGCCAUGGCCGAUCAGACUAGGCCACAGCCUGUCACCAGCUACCCCGCCGGACCGGCUAAUCAAAACGGUUAUCCUCCACCCUCCUCCGGCACUGCCUAUCCUUAUGCCGCUCCGCCUCCCGCUGCCUACAACUAUAAUUACUACAACAACAAUAACCCUUACUACCAGCAGCCCGAUGCUUACGCCGUGCAACGCGCCACCUUCCUCCGGCGCGUGCUCGCCAUAUUCAUCGCCUGCUUCGUCAUCGCCGGCACGGUUAUCUUCAUCGUCUGGCUCAUCCUCCGUCCCCGCCUCCCCGAGGUCCGCGUGGAUUCGUUGUCGGUUUCCAGCUUCAACCUCUCGGAUAACUUUCUAUCGGGGAAUUGGGACUUCCAGUUCACGGCUCGGAACCCUAACAAGAAGAUGACUAUCGACUACGAUGACAUUCAGGCCUCGAUUUACUACGACUCGAAGCAGCUUGCUGAGACCAGUGUGGCGCCUUUCUUUCAGGAUAAGAGGAGCGAGACCGCCUCCAAGGCUACAUUCGCUGCUACUAGAACGUUUGUGGAUAAUAGGGUUGUGGAAGGGAUCAAGAAGGAGACGCCCAACAUUGAAUUCGAUGUGCUUAUGCUGGCUAGGGUUAGGUUCAAGGCGGGAUCGUGGAAGGCGAGGAGUAGGUUUCUGAGAGUUUAUUGUGGGGAGUUGAAGGUCGGACUUGUCCAAAACAAAUCUUCUGGCAACUUGGUCGGAGGUCCAAGGCAGUGUGUGGUGCGGCUUUGAUGGUGACUAACUGCACUUUCAGCUCUAACAGCACAUGCAAGUUCUAAUUUGGUAUGUGCUUUAGUGAGUUAUCACACAAAUGAACACAAGUAGAGAUAUUUUCUUCAGGCAGGGGAAACAGUUUGAACAUUGGGAUCAUAUUAUUGCACCGUGGUUUGAGUUUGGCACUUUGGCACUUUGGCACUUGGAAUGAAGAACUAACUUUUUGCUUCUUUGCUGUAAUAUAUAAACUGAAACAGUAUGACAUCAUUUUCAGUUACACACUGCCCCGCCCGGAGUCUUCUUCAACAUAUUCCUUCUCCUCCACCGUGGAUUCUUGCUGCUCCCCUCCCGCUUGUGUUCAAUGCAUUUUUGAUAUUCCUCCCAACUCCAGUCUGCUGUGCCGUAGAUAGUAAUAGUAGGAGUAUAUUACACAUAAGUUAUUCAGCCACUAGCAGGUUAUGAACAGCUUUUUCAUUCUUCUAACUGAACAUUUAUACAUAUUGCUUGUGACAGCUGCUAUUUUGAACC